AGAGUUUGAUCAUGGCUCAGGACGAACGCUGACGGUGUGCUUUAGGCAUGCAAGUCGAACGAGAAAGCCCUUCGGGGUGAGUAAAGUGGCGAACGGGUGAGUAACACGUGGGCAACCUGCCCCUCGCAGGGGGACAACCGGAGGAAACUCCGGCUAAUACCCCGUACGCUUGUUGGAUCGCAUGGUCCGGCAAGGAAAGGUAGCUUCGGCCAUCCGGCGAGGGAUGGGCCCGCGUUGCAUUAGCUAGUUGGUGGGGUAACGGCCUACCAAGGCGACGAUGCGUAGCUGGUCUGAGAGGAUGAUCAGCCACACUGGGACUGAGACACGGCCCAGACUCCUACGGGAGGCAGCAGCCAGGAAUCUUGGGCAAUGGGCGAAAGCCUGACCCAGCAACACCGUGUGGGCGAUGAAGGCCUUAGGGUCGUAAAGCCCUGUUGAUAGGGACGAAGGGCGAAGGGUUAAUAGCCCCUAGCUUGACGGUACCUUUCGAGGAAGCCCCGGCUAACUACGUGCCAGCAGCCGCGGUAAUACGUAGGGGGCGAGCGUUGUCCGGAAUUAUUGGGCGUAAAGAGCGUGUAGGCGGUUCGGUAAGUCUGCUGUGAAAUCCUGGGGCUCAACCCUGGGCGUGCAGCGGAUACUGCCGGGCUAGAGGGUGGUAGAGGCGAGUGGAAUUCCGAGUGUAGCGGUGAAAUGCGCAGAUAUUCGGAGGAACACCAGUAGCGAAGGCGGCUCGCUGGGCCACACCUGACGCUGAGACGCGAAAGCGUGGGGAGCGAACAGGAUUAGAUACCCCAGUAGUCC
rnacentral:rRNA from 1 species